UCCCUGGUGGCUCAGACAGUAGAGCAUCUGUCUACAAUGCAGGAGACCAGGGUUCGAUCCCUGGGUUGGGAA
rfam:Ovis aries breed Texel chromosome 6, whole genome shotgun sequence.